AAAUAUAAAUUGUGGGUAUUGGCUGCAAUUUUAUUGCUAGCUUUUUGGUCUAUGUUUACUGGCUCUCUCACUCUCAGUCUCAAUUGGUCUGCUGCUAAUCUCAGCCGUCUAUCUGAUGCUUCUGAUUUCUCGAUCCAUGAUGAUCUUGAUAUUCUGGUACUUUUUCUUCUCUCCCUUUUCCUUUUUCUUUGAUGGGUCAUUUACUAUAAAGUAAAAAUCCUAAGUUACUAAGAAUAAAGAUUUGAUCUUUUCUUGAUGUAGUUGUAGUAGUUAACCCCUUUAUGAGCUGUUGAGGGUGUAUUAAAAAUAACAUCUCUAACUUUGCUAGAUAGGGUAAGGUCUGCAUACACUAUCCUCCCGACCCCAUUUGUAAUAAUAUGCUGAAUUUGUUAUUGUUGUUAUUGUGGUAUAGUUAACAGAUUCAACUAGUUUGGUAUUGAAAUAUAGUUGAUUGGUUAAUGAUCUUGAUAUUCUGGUACUUUUUCUACUCUCCUUUUUCCUUUUUCUUUGAUGGGUCAUUUACUAUAAAGUAAAAAUCCUAAGUUACUAAGAAUAAAGAUUUGAUCUUUUCUUGAUGUAGUUGUAGUAGUUAACCCCUUUAUGAGCUGUUGAGGGUGUAUUAAAAAUAACAUCUCUAACUUUGCUAGAUAGGGUAAGGUCUGCAUACACUAUCCUCCCGACCCCAUUUGUAAUAAUAUGCUGAAUUUGUUAUUGUUGUUAUUGUGGUAUAGUUAACAGAUUCAACUAGUUUGGUAUUGAAAUAUAGUUGAUUGGUUAUGGUAGGGCUACAUUUCAGGUCAAUUCACCUUAAAUAUCCUGCCCGAGCCGAGGGUCUCUCGGCAACCACUUUUCUAUCUACCCAAAGUAGAGGUAAAAUCUGCGUACACUCCACCCUUUCUAGACCCCACGUGCGGGAAUAUACUGGAUUUGUUGUUGUUACGUAGUCGCUACUUGUUGCUCUUUCUUCUUUCAUUCUUUCUUUAGCCGAGGGUCUGUCAGAAAUAACCUUUUUGGUCUCUAGGGUAGGGGUAAGGAUGCGUACAUCCUUACCUUUCCAAGACCCCAUCCGUGGGAAUCCACUGGAUUUGUUGUUGUUGUUCUUGUUGUCACCUUAAAGUCCUGCACUUUUUAGCUUUUCCUCUUUUUUAAACUUCUUUUUCUACUUUAGAUGGUGGAUUUGCUUUUCUGGGGUGUUUGAUCUCUUGAUUUUUCACCAUUUUAAUUGUUAAAAUGCUAAGUUGAAUUGAUUUUUCUUUGAUGGGUCAUUUACUAUUAAGGCAGAUCAUAAGUAACUAGAAAAAAGAAAUGAUUUUUUGCUAGAUGCAACAGUAGUAGUGUAGUACAGUAAGCUGGCUAGCUAGGUUUAGUUUGGGACUGAGAUGUAGUUGAUUAGUUGAUUGGUUGGAUUAGCCGAUUAGGAGUGCAUAUCAGGUAAAUUUACCUAAAACUUUUUUUGUUUUGCUAUACCUUUUUCUACUCUUCUUUGUCUACUUUAUAUGUUAGAUUGAGCUAAUUUUUCCUUGACCUUGAAGGGUCACUUACUAUAAGGCAAAUUUUAAGUAACUAAGACAAAAUGAAUUGGAUUUUGCUAGAUAUAUUAGUAGU
rnacentral:lncRNA from 1 species